GCCGGGGUGGCGGAACAGGAAGACGCGACGGACUUAAAAUCCGUUGGAGGCAUUCCCUCCAUGCCGGUUCGAUUCCGGCCCUCGGCA
rnacentral:tRNA from 1 species